ACAUAGAUAUGUGAUGACACAAACACAUAAUAUUUCCAGCAUAUACAAAACUGCAAAAUUAAAUUUAUUCAAGAGAAUACAAAUUUAGAAAUAGUUGUCGGAGCUUGUGCAUCGUUUAAGUUCCCUACAGCAUCGCUAUGUCGGUGUCGCCUAGGCGAGGCCUAGGUGUCCAGGCGCCCGGCCAGGCUCAUCGUGAUGCGGCACCUCGCCUGAAGAUGGCUAGGCGGACGCCUGAAGGGAUGGUGGAGGCAAGCAAUCACAGCAGCCCCAAAGGAGGCUCGCAAGGGGCUGAAUUCCUUAAUAAUCUUGGUGGCCUGGGAGUUAUGGAAGCACCGUAAUGCUUGUGUUUUUGAGAAGCAUAGGCUUAGGAUUCAAGAUGUUCUUAGUUAUGUUAGUUUGGAGGGAGACCUGUGGUGUUUGGCAGGGGCCUCCAAACUCAAGGAGCUAGUGUUUAGGUCGUCGACGUUCUUGGCCUAAGGCAUAAGGCCGCUCUGGUCGUGUCUUAUUUUCUUCUGUGGCGCUUAUGUAAUGGUGUGAGUGGUGCCUUCGUUAGGCACCUAGGGCGGUCUUUCUAGACCAUGUAUUUUUCUUCUACCUUAAUGAAAUGUCGCGCAAUUCUCCUGCGUGGUUCGGGAAAAAAAGUAUUUAAGAUAAAUAAGUUUCAUGGGAUGAAAUUGGUUUCAUGGGGAUGAAACCAUGUCAACCCGUUUCCAAGGUCUUGAAAAUCGUGUGAAACCUCCUUUAAGAGUGAUUUGUUUCAUCUUCACAUAUUUUACUGAUUUUCA